AUGAAGUUUGCCGACGAGAAGUUAGCUUCAGUCACUAAGCUUGAACAAGAAAAUACCAAUCUGAAAGCUGCUCUUGAGAAGAAACAUGAUCUGGAGGCCUUCCUGAAUGGUCUUGCCAAGAAGCUGUUCCUUAUGCUUGAAGAAUUUUGUCAAGACUUUGAAGAAGAGACUAGCCGGCUGGAACCAAACCUUGACCCCGUCAAUUCUCCGGUGGACGACGAAGUUGCCAUGAAUGUUUUCCGACUGGAGUCCCGUGUCGCAACUGUCGUGGACUAUCUCGCAAGGCUGAAGGUCGCCACAUCUCGCAUCGACUCAACGCUCUGGCCCGGGGAGACACUCCAGCACGACCUCGAGUCGCUGAUGGCUCGCUUGAACACAAUCCCUGGUCGAGUGCAGGAGUGGAAAAAGUCCUCGGCUCGGUGCGGUGCAGAUGUUGCUCUGUGUCUGGCCCGAGUCCACUGCAAAGAUGCGCGAGAAGACAAGCUGGCGGCCCUCCGGGUGGCCAACACCAAGAAACACGACUUCAGGUCCUUCAUGGAAACUUUCAUUGCUGCUGCCACUCGGAUCGCAGAUGGAAUUGAUCUUGAUGAGUUUGUUGCACCUUCCAGCCCUUCACAGGAGGGGUAA
rnacentral:rRNA from 1 species